AGCUUUGCAUAGUGGCAGUAUCGUAGCCAGUGAGGUUUAUCCAAGGCGCAAUUAUUGCUAAUUGAAAACUUUUCCUAAAAUUGGUGAGUUGGAUCUACAAACAGUUCCUUUUAAAAAAAUUAAAAGAAGGCAUGCAUA